AGUGAACGCUGGCGGUAGGCCUAACACAUGCAAGUCGAACGGCAGCACAGUAAGAGCUUGCUCUUACGGGUGGCGAGUGGCGGACGGGUGAGGAAUACAUCGGAAUCUACUUUUUCGUGGGGGAUAACGUAGGGAAACUUACGCUAAUACCGCAUACGACCUACGGGUGAAAGCAGGGGAUCUUCGGACCUUUCGCGAUUGAAUGAGCCGAUGUCGGAUUAGCUAGUUGGCGGGGUAAAGGCCCACCAAGGCGACGAUCCGUAGCUGGUCUGAGAGGAUGAUCAGCCACACUGGAACUGAGACACGGUCCAGACUCCUGCGGGAGGCAGCAGUGGGGAAUAUUGGACAAUGGGCGCAAGCCUGAUCCAGCCAUACCGCGUGGGUGAAGAAGGCCUUCGGGUUGUAAAGCCCUUUUGUUGGGAAAGAAAAGCAGCAGGUUAAUACCCCGCUGUUCUGACGGUACCCAAAGAAUAAGCACCGGCUAACUUCGUG
rnacentral:rRNA from 1 species